GCGUCGGUGGUUCAGUGGUAGAAUACUCGCCUCCCAGGCGGGUGACCCGGUUCGAUUCCCGGCCGACGCA
rnacentral:tRNA from 1 species